GAUUAGAGUUUGAUCCUGGCUCAGAUUGAACGCUGGCGGCGUGCCUAACACAUGCAAGUCGAGCGGUAACAGGCGUAGCAAUACGUGCUGACGAGCGGCGAACGGGUGAGCAAUGCUUCGGAAUCUGCCCAAUGGUGGGGAAUAACCAGUCGAAAGAUUGGCUAAUACCGCAUACGCCCCUCGGGGGAAAGCGGGGGUCGCAAGACCUCGCGCCGAUGGAUGAGCCGAAGUCGGAUUAGCUAGUUGGUAGGGUAACGGCCUACCAAGGCGACGAUCCGUAGCUGGUCUGAGAGGACGACCAGCCACACUGGUACUGAGAUACGGACCAGACUCCUACGGGAGGCAGCAGUAGGGAAUAUUGGGCAAUGGGUGAGAGCCUGACCCAGCCAUGCCGCGUGCAGGAAGAAGGCGUUCUGCGUUGUAAACUGCUUUUGAUCGGGAAGAAAGCGUCUUUGCGAAGACAGUUGACGGUACCGAUAGAAUAAGCACCGGCUAACUCCGUGCCAGCAGCCGCGGUAAUACGGAGGGUGCAAGCGUUGUCCGGAUUCAUUGGGUUUAAAGGGUGCGUAGGCGGAUUGGUAAGUCAGUGGUGAAAGGCAGCGGCUCAACCGUUGAGUUGCCAUUGAUACUGUCAGUCUUGAGUGCACUAGAGGUAAGUGGAAUUUAUGGUGUAGCGGUGAAAUGCAUAGAUACCAUAAAGAACACCAAUAGCGAAGGCAGCUUACUAGAGUGUAACUGACGCUGAGGCACGAAAAG
rnacentral:rRNA from 1 species